rnacentral:rRNA from 1 species
GGGUUGUGAGGUUAAGCGACUAAGCGUACACGGUGGAUGCCCUGGCAGUCAGAGGCGAUGAAGGACGUGCUAAUCUGCGAUAAGCGUCGGUGAGGUGAUAUGAACCGUUAUAACCGGCGAUUUCCGAAUGGGGAAACCCAGUGUGUUUCGACACACUAUCAUUAACUGAAUCCAUAGGUUAAUGAGGCGAACCGGGGGAACUGAAACAUCUAAGUACCCCGAGGAAAAGAAAUCAACCGAGAUUCCCCCAGUAGCGGCGAGCGAACGGGGAGGAGCCCAGAGCCUGAAUCAGUGUGUGUGUUAGUGGAAGCGUCUGGAAAGGCGCGCGAUACAGGGUGACAGCCCCGUACACAAAAAUGCACAUAUUGUGAGCUCGAUGAGUAGGGCGGGACACGUGGUAUCCUGUCUGAAUAUGGGGGGACCAUCCUCCAAGGCUAAAUACUCCUGACUGACCGAUAGUGAACCAGUACCGUGAGGGAAAGGCGAAAAGAACCCCGGCGAGGGGAGUGAAAAAGAACCUGAAACCGUGUACGUACAAGCAGUGGGAGCCUCUUAAUGGGGUGACUGCGUACCUUUUGUAUAAUGGGUCAGCGACUUAUAUUCUGUAGCAAGGUUAACCGAAUAGGGGAGCCGAAGGGAAACCGAGUCUUAACUGGGCGUUAAGUUGCAGGGUAUAGACCCGAAACCCGGUGAUCUAGCCAUGGGCAGGUUGAAGGUUGGGUAACACUAACUGGAGGACCGAACCGACUAAUGUUGAAAAAUUAGCGGAUGACUUGUGGCUGGGGGUGAAAGGCCAAUCAAACCGGGAGAUAGCUGGUUCUCCCCGAAAGCUAUUUAGGUAGCGCCUCGUGAAUUCAUCUCCGGGGGUAGAGCACUGUUUCGGCAAGGGGGUCAUCCCGACUUACCAACCCGAUGCAAACUGCGAAUACCGGAGAAUGUUAUCACGGGAGACACACGGCGGGUGCUAACGUCCGUCGUGAAGAGGGAAACAACCCAGACCGCCAGCUAAGGUCCCAAAGUCAUGGUUAAGUGGGAAACGAUGUGGGAAGGCCCAGACAGCCAGGAUGUUGGCUUAGAAGCAGCCAUCAUUUAAAGAAAGCGUAAUAGCUCACUGGUCGAGUCGGCCUGCGCGGAAGAUGUAACGGGGCUAAACCAUGCACCGAAGCUGCGGCAGCGACGCUUAUGCGUUGUUGGGUAGGGGAGCGUUCUGUAAGCCUGUGAAGGUGGCCUGUGAGGGUUGCUGGAGGUAUCAGAAGUGCGAAUGCUGACAUAAGUAACGAUAAAGCGGGUGAAAAGCCCGCUCGCCGGAAGACCAAGGGUUCCUGUCCAACGUUAAUCGGGGCAGGGUGAGUCGACCCCUAAGGCGAGGCCGAAAGGCGUAGUCGAUGGGAAACAGGUUAAUAUUCCUGUACUUGGUGUUACUGCGAAGGGGGGACGGAGAAGGCUAUGUUGGCCGGGCGACGGUUGUCCCGGUUUAAGCGUGUAGGCUGGUUUUCCAGGCAAAUCCGGAAAACCAAGGCUGAGGCGUGAUGACGAGGCACUACGGUGCUGAAGCGACAAAUGCCCUGCUUCCAGGAAAAGCCUCUAAGCAUCAGGUAACAUCAAAUCGUACCCCAAACCGACACAGGUGGUCAGGUAGAGAAUACCAAGGCGCUUGAGAGAACUCGGGUGAAGGAACUAGGCAAAAUGGUGCCGUAACUUCGGGAGAAGGCACGCUGAUAUGUAGGUGAAGCGACUUGCUCGUGGAGCUGAAAUCAGUCGAAGAUACCAGCUGGCUGCAACUGUUUAUUAAAAACACAGCACUGUGCAAACACGAAAGUGGACGUAUACGGUGUGACGCCUGCCCGGUGCCGGAAGGUUAAUUGAUGGGGUUAGCGGUAACGCGAAGCUCUUGAUCGAAGCCCCGGUAAACGGCGGCCGUAACUAUAACGGUCCUAAGGUAGCGAAAUUCCUUGUCGGGUAAGUUCCGACCUGCACGAAUGGCGUAAUGAUGGCCAGGCUGUCUCCACCCGAGACUCAGUGAAAUUGAACUCGCUGUGAAGAUGCAGUGUACCCGCGGCAAGACGGAAAGACCCCGUGAACCUUUACUAUAGCUUGACACUGAACAUUGAGCCUUGAUGUGUAGGAUAGGUGGGAGGCUUUGAAGUGUGGACGCCAGUCUGCAUGGAGCCGACCUUGAAAUACCACCCUUUAAUGUUUGAUGUUCUAACGUUGGCCCGUAAUCCGGGUUGCGGACAGUGUCUGGUGGGUAGUUUGACUGGGGCGGUCUCCUCCUAAAGAGUAACGGAGGAGCACGAAGGUUGGCUAAUCCUGGUCGGACAUCAGGAGGUUAGUGCAAUGGCAUAAGCCAGCUUGACUGCGAGCGUGACGGCGCGAGCAGGUGCGAAAGCAGGUCAUAGUGAUCCGGUGGUUCUGAAUGGAAGGGCCAUCGCUCAACGGAUAAAAGGUACUCCGGGGAUAACAGGCUGAUACCGCCCAAGAGUUCAUAUCGACGGCGGUGUUUGGCACCUCGAUGUCGGCUCAUCACAUCCUGGGGCUGAAGUAGGUCCCAAGGGUAUGGCUGUUCGCCAUUUAAAGUGGUACGCGAGCUGGGUUUAGAACGUCGUGAGACAGUUCGGUCCCUAUCUGCCGUGGGCGCUGGAGAACUGAGGGGGGCUGCUCCUAGUACGAGAGGACCGGAGUGGACGCAUCACUGGUGUUCGGGUUGUCAUGCCAAUGGCACUGCCCGGUAGCUAAAUGCGGAAGAGAUAAGUGCUGAAAGCAUCUAAGCACGAAACUUGCCCCGAGAUGAGUUCUCCCUGAGACUUAGAGUCUCCUGAAGGAACGUUGAAGACGACGACGUUGAUAGGCCGGGUGUGUAAGCGCAGCGAUGCGUUGAGCUAACCGGUACUAAUGAACCGUGAGGCUUAACCUUACAACGCCGAAG